GGCCGGUUAGCUCAGUUGAUCAGAGAGUUGUGCUAAUAACACGAAGGUCGCAGGUUCGAUGCCCGUACGGGCCA